rnacentral:rRNA from 1 species
CAAUCGCCUGAUUUUCAAAAACAUGUCUUUUUGAUAAUAAUUUAAAGUUUGGCCUGCCCACUGAAAUUUUAAGGGCCGCGGUAUUUUGACCGUGCAAAGGUAGCAUAAUCAUUAGUUUUUUAAUUAAAAGCUGGUAUGAAAGGUUGGAUGAAAAAAGGACUGUCUCUAUUUAAUUUUAAUAAUAAAUUUAUUUUUAAGUUAAAAAGCUUAGAUUUUAUUAAAAGACGAGAAGACCCUAUAGAGUUUAAUAAAAAUUAAAUUUUAAAUUUUUUAGUAUUUUAAUUUUUAAAAUUUAAUUUUUAUUUAAUUGGGGUGAUUAAAAAAUUAAUUUAACUUUUUUUUAUAUAAACAUUGAUUUAUGAAAUUUUGAUCCAUUUUUUAUGAUUAUAAGAUAAAAUUACCUUAGGGAUAACAGCGUAAUUUUUUUUAAGAGUUCAAAUCGAUAAAAAAGAUUGCGACCUCGAUGUUGGAUUAAAAUUAAUUUUUGGUGUAGAAGCUGAAAUAUUGGUCUGUCGCCUAUCAACG